rnacentral:rRNA from 1 species
GAUCCUGGCUCAGGAUGAACGCUGGCGGCGUGCUUAACACAUGCAAGUCGAACGAGAAAUGAAGAUGGAAACCUUCGGGCGGAAGCCUUCAUUUCGAGUGGCGGACGGGUGAGUAACGCGUGGGUAACCUGCCUCAUACAGGGGGAUAACAGUUGGAAACGACUGUUAAUACCGCAUAAGACCACAGCACCGCAUGGUGCAGGGGUAAAAACUCCGGUGGUAUGAGAUGGACCCGCGUUCGGUUAGCCAGUUGGCGGGG